GUGCUGGGGAACGGGGCCGGGCUCCUGAGGGAGCCGCCUGAGGGCGGGCGCGGAGCCCGUGAGGAGGCGGCGCCCGCCUGAGGGGGCGGCACGCGCCGCUUCCCGCCCGCCAAAAGGCUCAAACGGUGCUGCGCCUCCCGCCUGUAACCCUCCGCCGGCAAAGAUUUAAAAAAUACUUCCAAAAAAAAAAAAAAAAAAAAUUAAAAGAGCGGGCGAGGGCCGGCCCUCAGUGAGGGCCGGAAGAGGGAGCCGCGCCGAGGAGGGAAGAAAGGGGGGAGGAGGGGGAUGGAGGGCUCCGUGUGAGGCGGAGGGAUCCGCAGCGGGCCGCGGCGCGGGGCCGCCUCAGUGGGCGCCGCGCCUCCGGGAGGCCCUGCGGCGCCGCCAUGGUGGUGCUGAGGCGCAGCGCCGGCAGCCGCCGGCGGUCCCUGGCUGCCAUGGACUCGAGCUCCGAGUUCCUCUCGCUGCAGCCCGGCGGCAGGAGGACGAGCAGGCAGAGAGCAGCCCCGGCCUGUGCAUGAGAAGCGGUUGUCAAAGCCUGCAAGGACUUGAGCUGCCCGUGGCACGUGAGGGAAGGCUGUGCAAAGUCAGGCAGGGCAAACAGCUGGCCCGCUUUCCUUGUGGGAGCAGGAAUGAGGAAGUUAAAUGUAAAGUUUUCACUGAAGCGAAAGCAGAAUCCUUCUCAUGAAACAGGUUGUAAGGACCGCCAGCCUUUGCUGGAGCACUCAUAUAGCAGAGACAUGUAGAAGUGCCCUAGAUGACAGAGAUGGCGAUCCUGCUCCUAGCUGCUUGUUCACAUCCUAAUGUCUCUUCCCUGACUUUCUGGUGCGCAAAGACUCGGCAAUAGCAGCUUUUGCAGUUUUCCCGAUACCAGCAAGCCAUUUACCUGCGUAUUUCAUCCAUCUAGAUUAAGGAGCAUGCAGCAGAAAGUCUCAGGUAAACCGGAGUCUGAUGGCUUCGUCUUCUCCCAAGUUUCCAGUCCCAAGGAGUCCUGUGGCAGACCGUAAGCGGCGGCUGUCCCUCUGGAGGCUGUUUGUCUGCAGCUUUACAACCCCGCUGUGAUUCCUCAGGCCGAACAAGGUCGUUUUGUUGUGACCUGUACUUGACACCCGUGUGCUCCAGAGUUCCCUUUUUGUUUGGGGAAAGUGGGAAGUGGCCCUUUUCUCUGCUGAGCCUUCCUGAGUCAUCUGCGUAGGGACUUGACACCAGAGCUCCUAGCCUAAACACACUUACCUGUUUGGCUGGCACUUGAGCAUCUGCUUGCUUCCUUAGAGACACCCAACAGCUAACUUCUUAGAAGCAAUUGUUGAUCACUUCCCAUAGUAGGAGGAAAAUAACUUUCAAACUACUACAAAAUUCCUUCCUGCAGUUUCCUUGCUCUGGUUUAGCCACUUGCUUCUGCUGAAUUUCACUUCUUGAGUGUGUUUUUUCAGCCUUGUGUGACUGAUACGAGCCAGUUCUGCCCUGCUGGCAGCCUGCUGCAGGUAACGUAGUGCUUCUCAGUGUCUGCUGUCUCACUGACUUGGGAUGCUUUUGUAGGAGCCAGAGGAUGGUCAGGGUUCCUGGUCCAUUGUUCCUGGCUGUGCCCUUGUUUGAGACAAGGUGAAGAUAAAAGAAGAGCUGAUAAAGAAUAACACGAGUACACGGCACUGUGCUUGUUGCAGAGAAGUCAUCAAAUAAAUGCAUAACUAUGUGUACAGAGGUCUCCUGAGUUAUUCCACUCUUUCCUUUCUUAAGCCUCCCGGAGGAAAAACAUUAAACAUCACUGUGGCAGACCAGGCUGGUCUCAUCAAGCUUUAGGUCUUGUUUCAUCUCUGCUGGGUCUGGGGAAUAAAAAAUGUCUUCAAGAGUUGUUUCAGAUGCCUGGAUUCAAACUUGUGCUAGGGCAAGCAUCUCGUGAGGCCCCUUUCUAUCAGCACGGAGAACAGGAGGGAGAAAAGCAUUCUCCCACGUGCCCUUACCAGUGCCCUCCUCUAACUUCUUCAUGCCUUUGCUGUUACCUUGAGCAAACACUAACUAAGCUCUUAGUAAAGUUAGUGCCGGGAAGCAGAAAAAUCUUGUCUAUUUUCUGACUUUGGAGUGAAAUUUCAUUUGAUGUACUCUUGCUGGAACUUCAUUUUGUAAACAGAACGACCCCCCAAUCAAGGAUAUCACAGCUUCCCUCCCGUACUAAAAAUGAUAGUACUCACCCUUGUAGGAGCAGCAAUGUGAAGAAGGUCAAGGGCAGUAAGAAGGGUUCAAAGCUUUGAUAUAACAAGCCUUACACUUUUUUUUGACAGAGCUCCUAAUAAGCAUCUUUAGCAAGGUCUGGAGAUGGGAGAAAAACUCGAAC
rnacentral:lncRNA from 1 species